rnacentral:tRNA from 1 species
CAAAUUAGAGCUUGAAAAGCAUUUCAUUUACAUUGGAAAGAUAUUAAAAUUUAAUUGAUUUGA